UAUCUACAACUAUUAAUGUAAGGCAUUUUAUAGGUCAAGGAGUGUUACAGUUGUAUUAUUAAUAUUUGGCUAAUGGUAUAAGGAAGACCUUGUUUUUCGAGAAUAGGCUGAAAUGAAGGGCAGUCAUGACAAGGGAAUCUAACAAUUGCACAUCUUUCUGACUCUAAGCCCCUCUUCAAGUUAUCAACCUACAGAAGUCCUUAAUACUUGUCCCCCUACCUCCCCUUACACUUACUGACAGUGCUUGCUUCAGGAUCUCUGUCUUAUCAGUCCUCAGUUUAAAGCUAAUCCCUAACUACUUCAGGCAAUGAGAAUCACUGUUGUAAAGACAGCCCUAACCAUCAGAAGGGCAAGAAUGCUUGGGACCAUUGGUCAAGCAACACAUUUGCUAUCUUGACUGUAUUUAACUCUCACCACUAUUUCCAUUUUGGGAAACAAACAGUUGGCUCUUUUAAAAAACUAAUGACUCAUGGGGUUUCCCAUAAUACAACUGGGUCAAUAGGUCACAAUGUCUUAGAAUUCUAGGACCUGGCACAACAGAGCUGGAAGGGCCAUCCCACAUAAUUUAGUCUGGUCUGCCUAUCAGACAACAUGGAGAUACUGAGGGCUUGACUGGGCAAAGCCCAGGCCCUAGGUGUAAACCUCCUUUUUUUCUCAACUUAGUUGAAGCUGUGAAAAGAUAGAAUAGAAUAGAAAGUGAAAGACUAGAGUGUGUCAUCGUUUAUUCGCUUCAGAGACUCACUUCUGGGACUGCUCUAACUCGUAGACUGCAACGAAUUCACAGCCAAAGGCUAGCAAACCAGAUUGAUCCAGACUACGUUACUGGACCGGUUUUACAAAAUUCCUAUGGAAUGAGGCAGUUUAAACAGAUUGUGAAGACAGUGGUUCAGCUACAAAUUCAAAAGAAGAGUAAUUCGCAUUUUCUGAAGACCUACUACGAAUCAGGAAUCUGCUGAAGCCUUUUCUCACUAGUAAGCGGAGGUGACAGGGGAGUGUUCACAUUUGAAGAGGUAUCAUAGCAUAAUGAGAAAAGCCUGGGCUUUAAAGUCAGAAGUGUGAAUCCUUGCUUUGCUAUUUACUUGCUGAGCAACUUGGGGUGAGUGUUUAACUUCUCUGGGCUUCAGUGAGGAUUCAGUAAGAUAACAGAUAUAAAGAGCUGGGCACAGUGCUGCCUGGCACAUAUGUGGCAUUCAGUUCCCAUGCCUUUUUCUGCUACCACCCUGACUCCAAAGUUAAUUGACACUAUGCACCUCCUUGGCCUUGAAACCCCACUCAGUACAGCAUAACGAUGGGUCUACUAGACAGAAUGCUGGAGCAAGAGUCAGAAGAUGUGGGUUCCAUUGCUAGACAUAUCCCUUGUUAUAGUACCUUGGAUAAGUUACUCCCCUCUCCUGACCCUGUCAAUAAAACAGAACACCCCCUAGCUCUGAUGCUGAAAGAGAAGAGCAGAGAAAAUCACUUUUCUUGGGCACCUGCCAUGAGACAUGUACCAUGCUAGGCCCUUUUACAUACAUUAUGUCCUUUAAAUCAGUACUGGCCAGUAGAAAUUUCUGAGAUGAUGGAACUGCUCUGUAUCUGUGCUAAGAUGGUAGCCACUAACCAUAAGUAGCUAUUAGGCCCUCAAAAUGGGGCUAGUUCAACUUGAAUUUUUAAUUUAAUUUAAA